UUAACUCAAAUUUGUAUGGAGUUGGAACGUUUGCCUAAGUUUGCUGCAGCUUUAAGCGCUGUUCCAACUGCAAACAAAUUUGAGUUA
rfam:Bombyx mori DNA, contig: Bm_scaf59_contig28532, strain: p50T/Dazao, build 2, whole genome shotgun sequence.